GAUGAAGAACGUAGCGAAAUGCGAUACUUGGUGUGAAUUGCAGAAUCCCGUGAACCAUCGAGUCUUUGAACGCAAGUUGCGCCCGAAGCCACUAGGCCGAGGGCACGCCUGCCUGGGCGUCACACGUCGUUGCCCCCCCAUCUACUCCUUCGGGAUUGCGGGGGGGCGGAUGAUGGCCUCCCGUGCGCCUAGCCGCGCGGUUGGCAUAAAUACCAAGUCCUCGGCGACGCACGCCACGACAAUCGGUGGUUGCGAAACCUCGGUUGCCCGUCGUGUGCGUUCGUCGCGCAUCGAGGGCUCGAAAAAAUUGCCGGGCUCCGGCUCGGCUUUCAACGCGACCCCAGGUCAGGCGGGGUUACCCGCUGAAUUUAAGCAUAUCAUAAGCGGAGGA
rnacentral:misc_RNA from 1 species